rnacentral:misc_RNA from 1 species
UCCCCGUUUUCCGGGGCAGUCUCUGUAGAGUUCCCGGCAUUACCCGUUGGCAACUAAAAGCAGGGGUUGCGCUCGUUGCGGGACUUAACUCAACAUCUCACGACACGAGCUGACGACAGCCAUGCAGCACCUCGACUAAUGUCCCUUGCGGGAAAAAGAGCUUUCGCCCCCUGUCACUAGCCGUUCGAGCCCAGGUAAGGUUCUUCGCGUUGCGUCGAAUUAAACCACAUGCUCCACCGCUUGUGCGGGCCCCCGUCAAUUCCUUUGAGUUUCAGCCUUGCGGCCGUACUCCCCAGGCGGGACACUUACUGCGUUAGCGACGGCACCGAGGGGGUCGCUCCCCCCGACGCCUAGUGUCCAUCGUUUACGGCGUGGACUAC